GGAUCAGGUAGGGAUACCCGCUGAACUUAAGCAUAUCAAUAGGC
rnacentral:rRNA from 2 species